rnacentral:misc_RNA from 1 species
AAAAGAGACCUACUUCACAAAACUUACCUCUCAGCUAAAGCAGCCUUUGAUGUAUUAACAGAUGUUCACCUAAACAUGCUCAGACAACUCUCUACUAUAGUUGGUGCUUUGACUCGAAAAAUCUGAAUUAACAUCUUGACUAGGAAAUGCCAUCCUUCGAAAGAGUCUUAUUUGUGCAGAUUGCUCAGCAGAGUUAUAUAUUGCACUUUCACCAACUUUCAUUCCGUUUGUCAAAUCAGACAUUAG